GACGAACGCUGGCGGCGUGCUUAACACAUGCAAGUCGAACGGAAAGGCCCUGCUUUUGUGGGGUGCUCGAGUGGCGAACGGGUGAGUAACACGUGAGUAACCUGCCCUUGACUUUGGGAUAACUUCAGGAAACUGGGGCUAAUACCGGAUAGGAGCUCCUGCUGCAUGGUGGGGGUUGGAAAGUUUCGGCGGUUGGGGAUGGACUCGCGGCUUAUCAGCUUGUUGGUGGGGUAGUGGCUUACCAAGGCUUUGACGGGUAGCCGGCCUGAGAGGGUGACCGGCCACAAUGGGACUGAGAUACGGCCCAGACUCCUACGGGAGGCAGCAGUGGGGAAUAUUGCACAAUGGGCGGAAGCCUGAUGAAGCAACGCCGCGUGCGGGAUGACGGCCUUCGGGUUGUAAACCGCAUUCGCCUCUGACGAAGCGUGAGUGACGGUAAUGGGUAAAGAAGCACCGGCUAACUACGUG
rnacentral:rRNA from 1 species